rnacentral:rRNA from 1 species
CUUCACCUACGGGGGGCAGCAGUGGGGGAUAUUGGACAAUGGGGGGGAACCCUGAUCCAGCGCCGCCGCGUGAGUGAAGAAGUAUUUCGGUAUGUAAAGCUCUAUCAGCAGGGAAGAAAAUGACGGUACCUGACUAAGAAGCCCCGGCUAACUACGUGCCAGCAGCCGCGGUAAUACGUAGGGGGCAAGCGUUAUCCGGAUUUACUGGGUGUAAAGGGAGCGUAGACGGCAGCGCAAGUCUGGAGUGAAAUCCCAUGGCUUAACCAUGGACCUGCUUUGGAAACUGUGCAGCUAGCGUGCAGGAG